CAGCCGCCGCGGGAAAACGUAGGGUGCAAGCGUUAAUCGGAAUUACUGGGCGCAAAGCGUGCGCAGGCGGUUCGUUAAGACAGAUGUGAAAUCCCCGGGCUUAACCUGGGAACUGCAUUUGUGACUGCAAGGCUAGAGUGCGGCAGAGGGAGAUGGAAUUCCGCGUGUAGCAGUGAAAUGCGUAGAUAUGCGGAGGAACACCGAUGGCGAAGGCAAUCUCCUGGGCCUGCACUGACGCUCAUGCACGAAAGCGUGGGGAGCAAACAGGAUUAGAUACCCCAGUAGUCCCUGUCUCUUAUAC
rnacentral:rRNA from 1 species